rnacentral:pre_miRNA from 1 species
AGGCAGUGUAGUUAGCUGAUUGCGGGCAGCAAUUGACAAUCGCUAUUUACACUACCAAC